CAGCUCAUUUUACAGAUGAAGAAAUGGAGGCAAAAAGAAUAAAGUGACUUGCCCAGGAUCACACAGCUAAAGUGUCCGAGGGCGAAUACCGUGUCCGGAUCAUCUACGCGGGUUCAUAGAUGACCGACUGGAACAGCUGAAUGCCUGGGACAGCACGGGAUCUGGGUGAAUUAUGGCCUUGUUCUCCAGGGAUAAAGUGCCUUUAUAUGGAGGAAGUGAAGGUCUGGAAUGAAAACUGCUGAUGACUGUCUCAACAAUGAGAGGCUGCUUGCUUUUUCGGAGUCAUGACCCUGGGAUCUGAGUUUAGCCUGCCCCUGCCCCCCUGAUAUUGGAUCAUGCUUCUUCACAUCUCUAGGAAGCAACUUUUAAUUAUCAGUCCAUUUUCCAGAGUAAUCCUGUAUAAAAUGGAGCAAGCGGAGCAAAUCAUAGCGAUUAUGUGCUAUCAACGGCCAUUACUGAAGAGGAAUUGUUGGCUUAAUUUUUUUUUUUAGUAGUGUAUCAUAGUACAUUUCUCAUUUCAGGGAUUUCCUUGGCAGGAGCACUCCCUCCAUUCAUACAGAACAGAUUGCAGCUCCUCUGAGUAGCAUGAUCUUUGUGGGACACUGUGGCCAGAAGCGUGCAUCAGCCGGUGGCCAGUCUUCUGGUGCCAGGGCUCUCUAGCUGAGGGGGGCUGGUCUUCAGCUGAGGCAUGUAGAGUCUGCUACCUGGACUUAAAUAAAGCUUGUAGCCCCCUGGCACCGGCCUUCAAGAAACGGGGCUUUCACACUACGAUAGAAAAGGAAAAUGAUAAAUGUUGGGGAGGGUGGGGCAAAACUGGGACACUGAUGCAUUGCUGGUGGAACUGUGAAUUGAUCCAACCAUUCUAGAGGGCAAUUUGGAACUAUGCCUCAAGGGCUAUAAAACAGUGCAUGCCUUCUGAUCCAGUAAUACCCCUAGUAGGUCUGUAUCCCAAAGAGAUUUUUAAAAAAUUGAGGGGGGGAAUCUAUUUGUACAAAAUAUCUACGGCUGCUCUUUGUCAUGGUGGCAAAGAACUGGAAAUUGAAGGGAUGCCCAUCAGUUGGCAGAAUAAAUUGUGGUAUAUGAUGGUGAUAGAAUACUAUCGCACUGUAAGGAAUGAUGAACAGGAUGAUUUCAGAAAGAUCUUCAUGGACUGAUGCAGAGUGAAAUGAGCAGAACCGGGAAAACAUGAUACACAGGAACAGCAAUACAAUGACCCGGGACAAUCCUGAAGGACUUGGGACAAAAAACGCUCUGCACCUCCAGAGAGAACUGUUGGAGUCAGAAUGCAGAUGAAAACCUAUGAAUUUUUCAUUGUUUAUUUGGUAUAUGAUUUGGGGGUUUGGGUUUUAUAAGAUUACUCACUUACAAAAAUGAAUAAUAUGGCAAUAAAAAUAAA